rnacentral:rRNA from 1 species
UGUAUAGGCGGCCACAUUAGUCGUUCGUUAAAUCCGCGGGCUUAACCUGCGGCAUGCGAGCGAAACGGUGUGGCUCGAGGGCGCGAGAGGUGCACGGAACUCAUGGUGGAGGGGUGAAAUCCGUUGAUAUCAUGGGGAACACCAAAGGCGAAGGCAGUGCACUGGUGCGUUCCUGACGCUCAAACACGAAAGCCAGGGGAGCGAACG